rnacentral:rRNA from 1 species
UACGUAGGGUGCGAGCGUUGUCCGGAAUUAUUGGGCGUAAAGAGCUCGUAGGCGGUCUGUCGCGUCGAUCGUGAAAACUUGGGGCUUAACCCUGAGCUUGCGGUCGAUACGGGCAUGACUGGAGUUCGGCAGGGGAGACUGGAAUUCCUGGUGUAGCGGUGAAAUGCGUAGAUAUUGGGAGGAACACCAGUGGCGAAGGCGGCUCACUGGACCGGAACUGACGCUGAGGCGCGAAAGCGUGGGGAGCAAACAGG